rnacentral:lncRNA from 1 species
AUGAAGAGAAACUUACUGAAUCCUGGAGACAUCAGUCUGACCCUGAAAUACCCCAUAGACAGCAACACCUACACCUGCACCGUUUACUACUGGCAACACAUCCUUAUAGAGAAAAAAGUACUGCUCACUCUCAGAGUUCCCCAGGUGGAGGUGGAUUCAAGGGUGGAGUCUGUCGAGCUGCCCUUCAAAACCACACUUGACCUGCCUGAAGAAUCUGAAGUGGAGUGGAAGGACAAUGCCUGGGAUACAGUUCACGUGUAUAAGAACGGCUCUGACCAGCCUGAAGAACAGCACCAGGCUUAUACAAACCGAACGAAGAUGAAUGAAGACCUCCUGCAAACUGGAGACCUCAGUCUGACCCUGAAGUACCCCACAGAUGGAGACAACUACACCUACACCUGCACCGUCUACGGCAAGGAGGGAAACAUCCUGCUGAAGAAACAAGUGGAGCUGAAAGUCAGAGUCUUUCAGGUGGAGGUGGAGGAGGGGGCGGAGUCUGUCAAGCUUCCCUUCAAAACCACACAAAACCUGCCUGGAGAUGCUAAAGUGGAGUGGAAGGAUCGUCGCAUGAGGAUUCAUGUGUAUGAAGGGUUCCCUGACCAGCCUGACCAACAGGACCAGGUUUACGACCGAACGAAGAUGAAUAAAAACCCACUGAAAACUGGAGACCUCAGUCUGACCCUGAACAACCCCAUAAAGACAGACAGUGGAGAAUACAGCUGUGCAGUCUCGAUUGGUGACAACAACUUAAUAAGAUACAAAACAGUGCAGCUCAGAGUCAACGGUUAG